rnacentral:lncRNA from 1 species
GGAUUAAAAAGGAAAUGAAUAAAACGAUUGUAUUACCCAUGAGCAUUUACAAACCAAUAUUUGAAAAUACGUAAUGUAUUUUUGUUAAGGUGUAUUGUGGCCUUGAUUGAAGUUGAAAUUUGAAAUAGAAUAACGCCAAUGGUAGUAUUGAAUUUGUUGACACAUGCAAAGAAGGCGCCGGAGAAGAAAAGCAGGGGUGUCAUAAUGAAAACAAGUAAAAUUCCAAAGGGUGGAGUAUAAUGACAAGGUUUUUAAAUUUUAACCUUGGCUGUUUUUGGCAAAACCACGUGUGUAAGAAUUCAAUCCUCCUAUCAUCAAUUUUAGUUUAAUCUGUUAAAUAAAAAUAGAAAAUAAAGAAAAAAAUUAACAAAUAUAAUCGAAUAAUAAUAUAGAAAUAAGCAUUCAUUUCAAAAUUAUAACAACAAUAUUUUUAUAGAACAAAACAAUAAUAUUAAAUAUUUAUACUGAAGUUGAUUUUUUUUUUCUUUACUUCAUUUUGCACCAAUUCACCCCCUUCAACUUUAUAGUAUUAAUUGAACUUGUUGAAUCCAUUUUCUUUUUCCUAGAAAAAAAAGGGAUCGACUUUUAAAACCAAAUGUGGAGUCGCCAACAAUCUUUUUGUUUAAGUGUGAUUGGAUCAUUAUUAAAACAUUUUAAAACAAUUUUGGUCCACGUAAAUUUGAAAAUGGGUUCGGAAGCCGAUUACGUAUGAAGAAGGGUUAGCACCCUCAUUGCGCCCAAAAAUUGGUACCAGAUUGAUUCAAUGCUGUCCUCAUAUCAAAGUUUUUAGAAAGGAUUUUUGAAGUAUGGUUCUGUUUAAAACGUUUGAGUAGUUUAAGUUGGUCAUCAAAAUUCUCUUGUUUCAAAGGUACGUAGCAUCACAUCCAGCACGAUUGGAUACGAUUCUUCAUACCUUUGAAAACACAAUUGAUUUUUGACUUCCAAAAAUUCUUAAGUUAAAAAAAUAAAAGGAUAUCCAGAUAUUUAGUCCAACGAAAAAUUGAAACCCAGCACAGUAGGGCACGAUUUCUCGAAUUUUCAAAUAUUGAACAUUGCCUUGUCUUUAACAAUAAAUGAUUGUAAAUUAUCUCAAAACGCAUUGAUUUUAUUUGAAAUAAAAUGAAAUAAUUGAUUUUAAAGAGUUGAAAACCAUAAAGCAAUAUUUUGUAAACUAAAAGAAAAAUAAUAAUCAUGGUGUAUAAAAAUUCAAAACUUGGCGAACGAAGAUAAUAUGACUUUAUUUAACCAACUAAAAAAACAAACCAUUAUAUAACAUUAGUCCAAAAACAUAGAAUCAUAUUUUCAAACAUGAACCAAGAACAAUUGAAAUAGAACUACAAAAAUGGAAAAAAAUAAUGUACAACAAUAUUCAAUAAUCUAAUAUAACACAAUCAAAACAAAAUGUACCAAACAAAACAGAGAUUAGGAGUAUAAAACAAUUUGUAAAUAGUGAUGAAUUGAUGAACACAUGGUAUAUAUAAUAAAUGAAAUGAUGAAUUGAUGAAUUUGAAAUAAUUUGUAUAACCAAAAAAAUAUAUAUAAUCAUUAAAACGAAUAUUGUAGAAUGAAAACAUUUGAAUCAAAUUACAUGCAAAGUGUAAGAAACAUUUAUUUAAAACUAACAAUAUACACAAUAAAAGAGAAUUUAUAGAAUAUGAGUGGAUAAUGAAAUACAUAAUAAAAUAUAAUCUUAGGAAAUAAAUUACACCUAAUAGACUUACAAAACGUAUAUGUAUAUAAAUAAAUUUGGAAGCAAUUAUUUGUGAAAAUAGUAUGGAAUUUAUAACGUGUAUAAGAUUGAAUUAAUUUCAUCAUAAAUUGUAUAUGUAGUAGAUUUUAAAAACAUAAUUAUAUAUACAAAUAGAUUUAAAAGAAAUUAUAUGUAUAAAAUAACAUGGAUUUAAUGAUGUAUAUAGAUCAAACAUAUGUACCAAUAUAUAUGUAUAUAUAAUAAUUUAAAUAAUACAUAAGAUAUGUAGGAUUUUCCAUUAAAUAACAAAGAUAUAUAAUAAAAUAUGUGAAUAGAUUUAAAAGAAAUUAUAUGUAUAAAAUAACAUAAGAUUAACAAUAGACAUAGAAUAAAAUUAACUUUAUCAUGAAUUAUAUAUAUAUAAUAAUGUAUAAGAUAAAAAUAAAAUACAAUUAUCAAAGUAGCUCAAAAUAUAAAAAUAAGUAAACAAGAAUUAAAAAAUGGAUGUGAAAUGAAUCUUAAGAAAAUGAUGAAAAAAAACUUAAUUAAAAUAAAAUUAAAAUAAAAGGGAUAAUUUACAAAUGAAAUAAACUUUUGAAAUUAAAAUGAGGACUAAUGGGAAAUGCGUGUGAACGUGCAAGGAUUAAAAACGCAAUUUUCCAAGUUUCUGAACGCACCAUGUAAACAUGGAUCAAAUCAAAACAGCGCAUAAGUUUCAGGAAAGAAUUAAAAAAACAAAGAAACAUAAAUGGGACCUAAUCUGAUGACGGCAAAACGAGGGGGUACCAAAUGCGCAAUUAACUCAAAUCAACUAAGUGCGCGGAUCCUCCCCAAGUCGGGUCGGUUCACGCGCGGGUUCCUCCAUGCCUUGAACGGCACCGUUUUGAAGCCAUUGAAAUUGGCCCAAAACGACGCCGUCUGAUUGACGUACAAAAGCUAGCAAAUCAGGUAAAAAAAACCUAAGUAUCUCUAGAUGCUCUCAACCUCUUCAUCCGAACGCCGAUUCCGGUGAAAAGAAGGCAAUUGUGGUAGCAACGGACAAGUUUCAAGUGAGAUUUUUGCUCUCUUUCCCCUUUCCCUUUUAUCAUUUCUACAUGCAGUGGAUAAAAAUCAAAGAAAUAGAAUCGAAAAUUAAAAAAUCGAGAUCUGGAAUCAUCUUCUAAAAAAAAUGAUCUAGGAUCCUUUCUCUUUUUUCAAUAUCCGUGUAUACGGAUUGAGGAAAUAGAAACAAAAAUCAAAGAAGAAAACGAUCUAAAAUCCCCUUAAAAACUGAUUUCGAAUUGAUUUUUCUUUCUUUCAAUAUGCGUGUGUAUUUCUGUGAAAAGAGAUCCCUUUUACAUUCGAUUUCAUUGGCUUUUAUAGCCGAAUAAAAAGAAUAAUAAUAAUUAAAAAUACAAAAAAGUUCCCUUAGAUCUAUUUGCUGUCAAUCUGCUGUGAGUUGUUUUCUGUUAUUUUCUUCUCGCAGGUUCGAUUGUACGGAGGAGAACGCUUGUGGGGAUGAUGUGGAUGAGGCUCGGAGGCUCUGCGGAACCGCUCGUGGGAGCCUGACUCCCUGGCGUUGUUCUGGCACGUUCCAGAAGCUUCUGGUGCGUGUGAACUUGGUGGCUUAGGGUUUCUUGAGUGUUUUUUUGUUUUGGGUCAGGAUUUGGGUUAGGGGUUUAUUUUAUUUUGGGCUAAAUAAUUGGGCUUGUAACAGGGACAUUGGACCUAAUUAUUUUAGUUUUAUUUUGGUUUUGGUUCUGGUGUAAGCCCGAGCAGAUUUGGGCCUAUACAGAACUGAUUAAACUAUAAUUUUUUAUUCAAUCAAGUGAUCUGAUCAAAUUCUGGCAACCAUGGCAAGAACUCUUCCUUCUAUCAUGAUUUUUGAAUGCUUCUUGUUGGUUUGGACAUCAAAGUCUAAGCCAUCAUCGUUUGGCAUAUUAAUUUAUAUAGGUUAAAUUUUGCUAUUAGCCAUUAUAUUUUAUGUAAGUUGUGGAUUUGAUCCCAAUAUUUUAAUUUGGUCUUUUUUAAAUUUUAUUCUU